GAAAAAUUAGUUAAAUCAUAACAUAAGCUUGUCAAGCUUAAAUUAUCAUUCCUUUGAUAUUUUUUA
rnacentral:tRNA from 1 species